rnacentral:rRNA from 1 species
CCUACGGGGGGCAGCAGUGGGGAAUAUUGCACAAUGGGGGAAACCCUGAUGCAGCAACGCCGCGUGAGUGAUGACGGCCUUCGGGUUGUAAAGCUCUGUCUUCAGGGACGAUAAUGACGGUACCUGAGGAGGAAGCCACGGCUAACUACGUGCCAGCAGCCGCGGUAAUACGUAGGUGGCGAGCGUUGUCCGGAUUUACUGGGCGUAAAGGGAGCGUAGGCGGACUUUUAAGUGAGAUGUGAAAUACUCGGGCUCAACUUGAGUGCUGCAUUUCAAACUGGAAGUCUAGAGUGCAGGAGAGGAGAAUGGAAUUCCUAGUGUAGCGGUGGAAUGCGUAGAUAUAUGGAAGAACACCAGUGGCGAAGGCGGCUCUCUGGUCUGCAACUGACGCUGAGGCUCGAAAGCAUGGGUAGCGAACAGGAUUAGAUACCCUGGUAGUC